CCACGGUCUGCAGAGAGGUGUCUAAAUGAAUAUACCACGGUCUGCAGAGAGGUGUCUAAAUGAAUAUACCACAGUCUGCAGAGAGGUGUCUAAAUGAAUAUACCACGGUCUGCAGAGAGAUGUCUAAAUGAAUAUACCACAGUCUGCAGAGAGGUGUCUAAAUGAAUAUACCACGGUCUGCAGAGAGGUGUCUAAAUGAAUAUACCACGGUCUGCAGAGAGGUGUCUAAAUGAAUAUACCACGGUCUGCAGAGAGGUGUCUAAAUGAAU